GGGCCCCCUAAACUCCUCCUGUGGGGGAACCCGCGGAUGCUAUGAUUCUCCCAGCUCCCUGCACAUGUGUGGUCACACCCCAGUCACCCUCUGCAUCGCCAGGUCACAGGCGUGUACAAGGAGCCCUCCCUCUCAGCCCAGCCGGGCUCACUCGUGCUCCGUGGAGACAGCCUGAUCGCCGGAAUGUACAGGAAGCCCUCCCUCUCAGCC